UACAGAGGUCCCCGAGCGUUUGUUCGGAUUCAUUUGGGCGUAAAGGGGUGCGUAGGCGGUCUUCUAAGUUUUGAUGUGAAAAUCCCCGGGGGCUCAACCCCUGGAAUUUGCAUUGAAUACUGGAGGGACUAGAGUACCCGGAGAGGAAACCUGGAAUUUACGGUGUAGCAGUGAAAUGCGUAGAGAUCGUAAGGAAGACCAGUGGCGAAGGCCGAGU
rnacentral:rRNA from 1 species